rnacentral:rRNA from 1 species
UACGAAUGGGGCAAGCGUUGUUCGGAAUCACUGGGCUUAAAGCGUGCGCAGGCGGUCUUGCAAGUCAGAAGUGAAAUCCCGGGGCUCAACCCCGGAAUUGCUUUUGAAACUGCUUGACUAGAAACCGGGAGAGGUUAGCAGAAUUCCGAGUGUAGAGGUGAAAUUCGCAGAUAUUCGGAGGAAUACCAGUGGCGAAGGCGGCUAACUGGACCGGCAUUGACGCUCAUGCACGAAAGCGUGGGGAGCAAACAGG